rnacentral:tRNA from 1 species
GCACUGGUGGCUCAAUGGUAGAAUUCUCGCCUUCCAUGCAGGAGACCCAGGUUCGAUUCCCGGUCAAUGCA